AUUGAACGCUGGCGGAAUGCUUUACACAUGCAAGUCGAGCGGCAGCACGGGGGCAACCCUGGUGGCGAGCGGCGAACGGGUGAGUAACACAUCGGAACAUGCCCAGUCGUGGGGGAUAACACUUCGAAAGAAGUGCUAAUACCGCAUACGUCCUGAGGGAGAAAGCGGGGGAUCGCAAGACCUCGCGCGAUUGGAGUGGCCGAUGUCAGAUUAGCUAGUUGGUGGGGUAAAGGCCUACCAAGGCAACGAUCUGUAGCUGGUCUGAGAGGAUGAUCAGCCACACUGGGACUGAGACACGGCCCAGACUCCUUCGGGAGGCAGCAGUGGGGAAUUUUGGACAAUGGGGGCAACCCUGAUCCAGCCAUUCCGCGUGAGUGAAGAAGGCCUUCGGGUUGUAAAGCUCUUUCGGCAGGAACGAAACGGUGAGCUCUAACAUAGCUUGCUAAUGACGGUACCUGAAAAAGAAGCACCGGCUAACUACGUG
rnacentral:rRNA from 1 species